CACAGUAUAGGGAUGAACAGUAGUGCCACUCAGGGUCAAAAAGUGUCCCGAGCUUUUAAUUUAGGUCCCAGACCUUCUACGCGGCCAAAAAAUCGGCAGCCAGUAAACACACUAUAUGACAGCCAGUUUUAAUAUAUAAAUAAAGAAGAAAGGUUUCGAGAAAACGAUAUCAUGUCAUAAAUAAUACAUCGAUUUUUACUCCUAAGCCAUGGAAAGGAAAAGGAGGACACUUAGACUUACCUGGUUAUGUUUCUUGCUGUUCAAAGGUGACAAGUUUUGAAGAAUGAAACAAUUUUGUCGAAGCGAUGAGUGAUGCCCGAUGGAACACAAAGACUUUGAUUAAAGUUAUGCUAUUUACUAUUUAGUAGAGGUUUUUUCUAAACAUUUACAUGUAUUAUGCUGCUAUACCUGAACAUGCUUUAACAUGCUUUAUUAAUUAAUAUUGUACACAACUGUCGUUUGCUAUUGUACUGUGCUACUGUUGUACUGUAACAAGUUUAGACUAAAAACAAAACUUUAAGGAAAUGUAAAAUUUCGGUAUUAAAGCUUCAAGAACCGGUAGAGUAAACAUAUUAAAAAUAAUAUCUUUGAUUAUCUUUAAAUUUUGUAUUUUUAUCAAUCUUAUUUUUGUACAAUUAUUCAAUAAACAUG
rnacentral:lncRNA from 1 species